rnacentral:rRNA from 1 species
GACGUAUAAGAGAGCAUAAUGAAUACCCAAGUUUCCAAUGGAUCACUGAAGUUAAGCACCAUUGCACAUGGUUUGUAUUUGAAUGAGUGAUCACUUGGACCAUGUCUUUUGAGGUU